UACGGGGGGAGCAAGCGUUGUUCGGAUUUACUGGGCGUAAAGGGCGCGUAGGCGGCCACCGCAAGUCGGUUGUGAAAUCUCUGGGCUUAACCCAGAAAGGUCAACCGAUACUGCGGGGCUAGAGUGCAGAAGGGGCAACUGGAAUUCUCGGUGUAGCGGUGAAAUGCGUAGAUAUCGGGAGGAACACCGGUGGCGAAGGCGGUUCUCUGGGCCUUACCUGACGCUGAGGAGCGAAAGCGUGGGGAGCGAACAGG
rnacentral:rRNA from 1 species